rnacentral:rRNA from 1 species
AGUCUGCAACUCGACUACAUGAAGCUGGAAUCGCUAGUAAUCGCGAAUCAGAAUGUCGCGGUGAAUACGUUCCCGGGUCCUUGUACACACCGCCCGUCACACCAUGGGAGUUGGGAAUGCCCGAAGCCGGUGACCUAACCGAAAGGGAGGAGCCGUCGAAGGCAGGCUUGAUAACUGGGGUGAAGUCGUAACAAGGUAUC